rnacentral:lncRNA from 1 species
UAUGGAAGUUCCCAGGCUAGGGGUGGAAUCAGGACCUACACCACAGCUCACGGCAACACCAGAUCCUUCAUCCAGUGAGCAAGGCCAGGGACUGAACCCACAUCCUCAUGGAUUCCAGUCAGAUUUGUUUCUGCUAUGCCACGAAGGGAACUCCCGGUUCAGCUCAUCGAGUCUGCCUCCCACGUCACGUUGCAUCAGGGGUUUCUGUGCAUUUUUAGUUUUGAUGUAAUGUCUGUCUUGUUGAAGAAAAUGUUUAGAUGAUCUGUGAGGUGCAUGGCCCCUGUUUGCUGAUGGGAAACUGGCCGUUAGGGAGGGUGAAGUGGCUGGUCAGCUGGGGAGGCCCAGCCAGGAAGCCCCUCUGGCUCUGCCCGGCCAUUGCCCCCAAGGAGCCCUUUCUUCAGCAUCCCAUGUCCCGCUUUCCUUGGAUUGGCCACAUGGUCAGAGAGAAGCUAAAACACAUGCCACAGAGGGUUUAAAGUGUGGCAAGCAGAUGGUUUACUGAAACCAUCACUCUUAGAACAUGAAAGAGACUCCAAGUGUUUGAAAAAUGUGUAUGUUAAGCCCUGAUUAAAAGUCAGAGCUUAGCCAGAAUGACAAGCUGUGUGUGUUGUGAAAGUAACUUUGCAUUUGUUUGUUUAGCACUAGAGAAAGAGGAAACUUUGCUCUAUGUAUAUAAAAGGUUUGUUUAGUUGUCAGCGCUCAGUUUUUAAGACAAAUAUUUCAUCCUUUUUAUAUUCUUUUAAAGACAACCAUCUGAACGAAGCCCUGUGGCUGGUAAAAGGUGAAAUUGUAUCUGUAGGUAGUAAGAACUCCUGUUUGUGGAAGAAAUCUCGCUGUAACCCUGAAGAGCUGAAAAGUACAUUCUGAUUAGCAAGGACCUGGCUUAUAGUCGGGUGUUUUAUAAAAGAGAAACUAUUCUUGUGUAUAUGAGAGCUUUUUAAGUUUCGUUUUUAUUAGAGUACAGUUGAUUUACAGAGUUGUGCCAAUUUCUGCUGUGCAGCAGUGACCCAGUCAUCCAUAUGUGUACAUUCUUUUUCUCAUACUACCUUCCAUCAAGUUCUAUCCCAAGACACUGGAUGUAGCUCUCUGUGCUGUACGGUAGGACCUCAUUCUAAAUGGACCGAUUGGUGUGCAUCCCCCGCCAUCCCACUCCCUCCCUUUCCCCCUUGGUGACCACGAGCCUGUUCUCCAUGUCUCUCUGAGUCUGUUUCUGUUCUGUCGAUAGGUUCAUUUGUGCCAUAUUUUAUAUUCCACUUAUAAGUGACAUCACAUGGUGUUUGUCUUUCUCUUUCUGACUUGAGCUUUUUUAAUGUGGAUUUUGUUUUUUCGAGACACACGAUGGUCUCGUAGGCAUCAGGUGCUGGGCCCAGCACUUCCCCACCAUCUGUUCAGCCUUCCCAGCCGCAUAGCUGCGGGGGUGCCGUCUGGAACAGAUGCUGCUGCCCAAGGUCAGGCUGAUAAAUAAUAGGGCUGAGAUUUUACCCUCGUUUCUAACUUCAGGAUCAUAAUACCACCAUCUAAAGGAGGAUGCCCUCAACUUUGCAAGAUGGGCCUUUUACACUCAGAGGAUCAGCAACAUCUGGAAGACAGCUGUGAUGGCGGGAUGUAGCAGAUGGGCCUUCCACCUGCGAUCAUCCCUCAGGGAUGAAAAGCGACUGAAGCAGCUCAUCAUCAUGAAAGGUUCUGGAUGCAGAGAAAGGCACGUGGGUCGAGGAGCCUGUACCAGCCCGUGAAAGUGGAAGUAGGGCUGGGGAGAGGCGUAGGGCUGGGGAGAGGCGUAGGGCUGGGGAGAGGCGUAGGGCUGGGGAGAGGCGCGUGGCAGCUCCCCCUCCCCCGGUCUCCCUUGAGCUGGGACACCCUUUUCUUGUCACCUGCCGGAAAGCAGGGCCGAGGAGAGUGGAACAGUCCAAGAACUGUGCUGGCUCUUGGUCCGAAGAGUUGCCAUCUGUAGUGAAAUCUGGCCCCGAGUGGUCCUUAGACUACAGGGAGCUGCCACAAGGCCCACGGCCCUCUGGGUGCUGCCUGCAUGUGGCAGAUCUAGUCACGAACUGGAUGUCCACACACGCCUGAGGCUUGGCAAACAGUACACGUGACAUGUACCCUAACGGCGAGGCCGCCUCUGUUCUCCCUCUGCCCCCGAUCCCUGCUGUGCUGAGCACAGAGUGGCCAUAUGGGGGUGACAUUUUGCAGACUGUCCCUUGCUUCCCUUUGCAUUUGGCCUGACAAUUCAAUUAGAUGCUAGUUCUGCAGAUUCAUUUGAGGAGGCCAGGAAGUGCCCUGGAGGCUGAGCUCAGGCGGCUCCUGCGGGAGCAUCCACCUUAAUUGCGCGGUAAGAUCUGCAUCAGCCAGACCAGCCCCAGCCUCACUUGGAGCCUGGGGUGCUGUGUGCUGUGGGACAGCCCCGCGUCCUUGCCACCCCGUGCUUUGGGGCAGAUUCAGGCUGGCCCUAGAGCCCAACACGCUUACAGUCCCCCCCCCCCCCCCCCCCCCACAAUGGCAGCAUGUAAAUGGUCCCAUUUCCUGUUCUCUAGGGCUGCUUUUUCUGUAUUUACUAUUGAGUAAUUGUUUUAAAGAAAGUGUUCACAUUUUAUGUCAGGUGGAAUCUGUUUAUGGACUCAGGCUAGGGGUCUAAUCGGAGCUGUAGCCACAGGCCUACGCCAGAGCCACAGCAACGCGGGAUCUGAGCCGCGUCUGAGACCUACACCACAGCUUACAGCAACGCCAGAUCAUUAACCCACUGAGCAAGGCCAGGGAUCGAACCCGCAACCUCAUGGUUCCUAGUCGGAUUCGUUAACCACUGCGCCACGACAGGAACUCCCCAGCUUUCUUUCUAACGUGCCCAGCACUGUCAUGUGUUUUAAUUUGAAUCCAAAGUAUCCAAACUUAAAUAGGAAUUUGAAAAAUUAUUUAGCAUCUGUGUGUCUCGAUGUCCUCAACUGACGUCCAGGAGGGAGAUGCUGAACCAGGGGCUCAGACAGGCCCCGCGGUGUGGGUCUGGGGACUCCUCGUGCUGAGCUGAGCUUUCCACUCGCUUCUGUUUGUCAUGUCCUGUGAGGUAGACUUGCCUUCUACCCUUUCCGUGCUGCUGGCCAGGCUUUUCAGAUGAGAUUGCUUUUGUUUUGGUGGUUGUAGUGGUGAUUUUUACUGCUCUUGGUUUUGGAAUCCCAAGCCUGGCCAGUUAUAACCAGAACUUGAUCGCUGCCGGCAGUACGUCGUCCAGCUGACUGUGUGGCCAAGUCCACCGCCCGCUUCCCAGUUAACGAUCAACGGAGCUAGAGCCUUUCUCACCCCGACGGGCAGCACCUCUGCGCUGCUGCUCCUUGUCCUUCCACGAUGCUGCAAAGUUUUCUCAGCUGCAGAGAGUAACUGUCACCUGGAAACUUCGAGCCACCUCCAGCUAAACAGCAAAGUCAGCGGUGAGCACGGGGUGACCCUGAGCUUUACCCCCUCUGAGUACUGAUGAGGGGGAACUUCUGGAGAAUUCGGUUAAGUGGAUUUCACAGGGAAAGAUGAGAACUCUAUCUUCUUUGACCGAACAUUCAGUAACAGCGACAGAGUCGUUGUCUUGUGGGAGGUGAAUGACUUGCUUUUCUGGUCUUGGUGGCGGGUCUGGAGCCUCGUUGCUUUUGAGGAAACCUCUUCCUGGUUCUCUUGGCCACCCUUCUCCCUCCCCGGCCUGAAAUUGCUGGCACCCAGCUUGUCCCCUGACAGGAGAGUCCCUGCCGGCGGGUGCUGUCGGGAGGCUCGCUGGGGUCCCCCCUUGCCCACUGCGUGCUGUGCACAGCGCUUCUGCCUCCAGGUGGCAGAAUCGGGGUGUGGCAGGAGCGCCCUGGUCCAGGGACAGGGGCCGUGGGAGAGCUCCUCUCCUGAAGACAAGGUGACACGGACAAAGUGUGCGUCUCGGGAAGCAGGGACCCCGAGCCCCGGCAUGGCCAGGGCCCGCUCCUGAGUCUUCCCACACGGAUCCCGCCAGCCACGAGCUUGCUCUCUCUCCUGUCUUUUCUGGGGUCCAUUUUCCCUCCAUCAUGUGGAAUUCAAAAAGUCAGAUCACUUCCCCCUUUGAGGCACAAUUUCUUGCUCCCUGGAGGAGAAUGAGGCCGCAUCCCUCCAGCCUGAUGCUGCGGCUGGGGUGCCUCCGGGGUUACUGUGAACGCUGGCCUUGACCCGUUAGCGCACUGGCCUGAGUGCAGGGCAGCUUCUCAACUUGUGCAGUGACCGUCGGGUCCCUUGGUGUGUGUGUGUGUGUGCGCGUGCGCGCGCGCGCACACACACACACACACACACACACACACACACACACACACACACGAGGUAGGGCCAUAGCUCCUGAUUAAGGAGGAGAAUGGCUCCAUCUCUGUCCACUUGGCAGAGAGGGCAGGUGGAGACAAGAGUGAAUGCCAGCACCACCCCCGCCCAGCCCUUUCCUGAGCGAAAGGUGCCCUCACUCAUACUGUACACAUGCUCUUUGUAAAAACUCUUACCUGGUCCAACAGCAGAAGUGAUGACAAGGAUGAGACCUACUGCAAAGGGACUGAGGAUAAACGUUUUCUGAAAUGAUGAAACAUUUCUGAAAAGCAGAAUCUCUGCGUGGGAAGAAUAAGUCGCAGGAACAGUGGGAAGAGCAGGAAGCCCAGAUGACAGCAGGGUUUUGUGAAAACAAAACAGCUACUUCUUGCGCCUCUGUCCUCAUAUUGAACAUACAUAUGCACACAGGCAAUCCUGUGGAGAUCCUGGGCCCCCAAACAGCCAGCCCCUGGCAGCUGGCACAUCAGCUCCCCCAGACGGAGCCCAGUGGACUGCGGCUUGGGGUCAGGCACGGUGCUCCUGCCACAAAUGGCCUCUCCCUCAGCAGCCCUCAACUCAGCGGCUCACAACCCUGGCCGAUCCCUGGGAUCAUUUUAACAGCUUUCAUACCCCAGGGCCUCCCCCAGAGGGAUGACUGCAGACUCUGCAAAUGAUACUUAAAAAACCCCCUCCAGUGCCUUAACAUGACUUAAGAAAUAUUGGAGCUAGUUCUUUCCCUUUAAUGUUCUUGUUUGUAAAAUGCAAGCUUCCCGCCUGAGUCUUCGAGGUUUGACAGCUCUUGGUGCUGUUUGUUCUGAUUGUUGGGCACGCAGGCAGGAAGCAGGCACAGCCCUGCCCUCCUCUCUCCGUUGGUACCGUCGGGUGAGGACAGAGCCAGUGGUCACUCUCGGUGGGUGGACCGCCCCUCCAGGUACCAUGACCGGCCUCGCUCUUCCCUGCCUUGCUUGUCAUCGACCCGAACUUUCCUCUGGGACCCCCUUUCCGGACGCGACAUUUAACCACCGCUGGCCGGCGCCUCAACCUAUGAUCUGUUCUGUACCAGAUGACGUGCCCCUGCCCCGUGCCUUCCCCUCUCCUGCUCUCUGCGUCCACCCCUCUGACUCCUAAGUAGCCCCUGCUCUGGCCCGGUUCCAUAGUAAAUCCUGACAAUAGUAAACUAGUGAAUCACCCACCACUUCCCCUGGACCUCUCGGAAGCGCUCCGAGCAGAGCGGCCUCACCCUAACGCACCUGUCGCGUCCUGAGGAGCAGACAGGGCUGCGCGGCGACCCCAGCUCUUCACUGCUGUGUCCAGACCACCGGGCUCCCCUCCUGAGGCUUCUCCUUCAGCGACCUUGAGGAUGACCUUUAGACCCAGAGACCUGCAGCUCGGGGUCCUUUCCUACUCGUUCCCAAGGUGAUGGGGUUAUUUCAGCUCAGAAAACCUCAAGGCUCAUAUCAGAAACCCAAACUUAACGCUCAUCUUACCCUGCUUUGCUUUGCAGCUAGUGUGCUUUUCACAAAUGGAAGGUUUGUGGCAACCCGACGUCAAGCAAGCCUGUCAGAGCCAUUUCCCUGCAGUGGCUUCUCCCUCUGUGUCUCUGGGUCACUUCCCGUAAUUCUUGCAAUAUUUGGAAUUUUGUCAUUAUUGGUUUGUUACAGUGACCCGUGAAUAGUGUCUCUGAUGCUCUUAUUGCACAAAGAUGACCACUCGCUGAAGUCCCAGAGGAUGAUUUGCGUUUUUUAGCAGUUGAGUAUUUUUAAACUAAGGUAUGUGCUUUGCUCUUGGGGCAUGAGGCGCCUGCACACCUAGGCGACGGCAGUAGAGUGCAAACACGACCUUUAUGUGCACCGGGAACCCGCGAACUCUGCCUGAUUCGCUUGGUUUAGGUUUUCACUUCUUCUGGAACCAAGCCCGAAAUGCCUCUGGGGCGCCCUGGACGCUGGUUUUCUAAAACAAUGAGCAGCUAGUGUUGCACGAACACUCUGUACCGUUCAUUUUUUUCAUGAUGAGGCUGCUGCCCCUCUUCCCUCCCGGUUGGAUUCUGGUGUUCCUUCUGGGCCCGGUCUCUCUGGGUCACCUCUCCAGAGCGUCCAGGGCUGCCCCUGUCGCGGUUCUGGUGAAGGCCGAAAGCUGGCUUUGGUAACUUACUGUGUUCGGAAGCGGGCCGUCUGUCUGGAGCCGGCAGCAUCUCCCCGGGCCCCGGGCACCGCCUCCGGGACUCCACGCGUUUGGCCAUGCCCAGGUAGCGAGGGGCCAGGCCAGCCCACGAGCCCCAUGUGCUGUGCUUGGCCGGGCACUGUCAUUCCUCCUGCACUUUUGCAGCUUCUAGCCCUUUUCCUCUGCUGAUUUAGGUAACAUUUCCUUUGUAAAUCCUUCAUAAAAUGAAGACUUUCAACUUGUAGUUAAGCUCAUUUUCCCGCUCUAGCCAGUUAUCUGUGUCUAAGUGCUUGAUAGGACUUCAGAACCCUGGGGCGCGUACCUGUGUGUGUGGAGAUCUGCUUGUGGGUCGAGCUGGCACGCCCGCGGACUAAAGCCCGAGAGCAUAGUGUGGGGACGAGCCGGCUCUGCCAUUCAUGCUCAGUUUCCUGGCUCCUUUGUAAAAAUUCUAUCAAGCUGUAUGGGAGUCAGGUGAUGGAGAUGACCCGUUCCUUAAAAGCGAGUUCUAUUUAUGGAUAUUUGACUUUCAGAAGACAGGAAGGUCAUGAACCCUGGCAUAUAGGUUCCCUUGGAAAUGAGAUGGCCCCCUCCCUUGCAUGGUGACCAAGUCUGGGCUGUGUUCGCAUCUGCCAGCCCCGGGGCGGCUGUGAGGGGUGCCCGUGGCCCAGCUGAGGCUGGCAGGGCAUCAGGGCGGCCGUGUUGCUUGAUCGCUCCCUUCCUGAAGUUCCUGGAAGCUCUGCCCAGAUGAGAUGUUAAUAAAGCUGCCCUGCGCGUGCUGUGCAGUGGAGCCGGUGGAAUGGAAUGACUGCAACGUGAGUUCCUCACCCCGGCUCCUCACCAGCCUCCAGAGGCAUGUCAUCAUCCUCCUCUGCCCGAAAAGGAAGUGGAAUCAAGAGAGACUCUGCGACUUUCCCAAGGCCCGAGCCUGUGCGCUCUCUGGAGCUUGAAUAACUGGUUCUGGAAUUGUAGCUUGCAGGGAAACGCCCCAGAAUCUCCGGAGGGGCCUGAUGGCACGUGCCUGGAGUGCCCAGCUCCAGCCUCCUGCCCGCUCCUUGCCUGAGGCUCCACAUCCUGGGGGGAGGAAGGCGACAUGGUCCCUGUGAGAAUGACCUCAGCUGACGGAGCUCCCCCCAAACUUCCCGCCCACCAUGGUAAUAAUAACGCAGCAAAACAAAACUCACCAGCCCACAUAUCCACCAGAGAGCAAAUGGGGAAGUAAAUUGCCCUUGCUCACCGACAGGGAGUUCCUGUACAGCUCCUGCGCAGAGCCCUUCCGAGGCCCCGGGUGGGCCUUGCAGGCUGCUGGCAGGGCCUCCUGGUUUAUGAAAUUUGCGUAAGGAGAACGUCUUGUGAUUUGCUUGUCAUUCCACGUGUUCGCUUUCACGCUGUGCCUAAUUUUGGAUGCGCGAGUCUCGAGGCCCACAAACCCCGUGUCCUAUCCACAGUCACCCAGCAGCCCUGCACAGCAGCAAGCAGAUGGCACUAGGUCAGUGUGGCCAUUGAGCCGCGGCCAAGAUGUAGUCUGUGCUUUGCACCAGCAUCCGUAGGACAAUCCAGUUUGUGAAAAGAAAUGAGCCAUAUUCGUGUUCACCUGAGCCCCUUUGAAGCAGCUUUUAGCCCUGCCUGUCCCCUUUUGUAGCCUUGGUCUUCUCUGGAACUUCAAAAGUGAUAUUGACUCUGUUAUUUUUUCUAAUUAGGAAGAAUUUAUUUUAUAAGAAGUUUGAAAAAAUUACAAGUAUAAUGAGAAUCUGUUCUGAGAUCCUGCUGCUAACAUUUAAAGGUGGUGUCUCUUCCAGCGCAGACCCCCAGCUGCCCUUUGCCUUGGGGUGUGGUCGCUGGAGCAAAGAAUCUCCUUUAUUUAAAAAAUGAUGGUGCAGGUAGCUUUAUUAGAAAUGGAAAGGUCGUUGAGUUUUUUCCAACACCUAAACAGGCUGUGUUUCUCAGAAUAAACAAUUUGUGGCCUGGCUGGGACCGGGGGCGGGGACCAGUCCUGUUUUCCUACUGGGAGUGUGCUGGCUUAACAGCAUAUUUCUAAAGACCUAAAAACACGCAUGGCCUUCCAACACUCAAGGAUUGGUUGACUAUAUAACUUGACUCUAUAUGAUGAAAUACUCCUCAGCCAGUAAAAAAAAAAAAAAAAAAA